GACGAACGCUGGCGGCGUGCUUAACACAUGCAAGUCGAACGGAAAGGCCCUUUUGGGGGUACUUGAGUGGCGAACGGGUGAGUAACACGUGAGUAACCAGCCCUUGCUUUCGGUUUAACUUCAGUAAACUGGGGCUAAUACCGGAUAGGAAUCCUUUCUGCAUGGGGGGGGUUGGAAAGCUUCGGGGGUCUUGGGUGGAUUCGCGGGCUGUUAGCUUGGUGGUGGGGUGGUGGGUUACCAACGCUUUGACGGGUAGCCGGGCAGCGGAGGCGAACGGCCGACUUGGGACUGAGGUGCGGCCCCGGAUCCUACGGGGGGCAACAGGGGGGAAUAUUGCACAAUGGGCGGCAGGCUGGUGCAGCAACGCCGCGGGCGGGAUGGCGGCCUUCUGGUUGUAAAACGGUUUCAGCAGGGGCGAAGCUUGUGGUGACGGUACCUGCAGAAGAAGCACCGGCUAACUACGUG
rnacentral:rRNA from 1 species